GGCGUGCCUAUACAUGCAGUCGAACGCUUCUUUUUCCACCGGAUCUUGCUCCACCGGAAAAAGAGGAGUGGCGAACGGGUGAGUAACACGUGAGGUAACCUGCCCAUCAUGAAGGGGAUAACACUUGGAAACAGGUGCUAAUACCGUAUAACAAUCUAAACCGCAUGGUUUUGAUUUGAAAGGCGCUUUCGGGUGUCGCUGAUGGAUGGACCCGCGGUGCAUUAGCUACUUGGUGAGGUAACGGCUCGGCAAGGCCACGAUGCAUAACCGACCUGAGAGGGUGAUCAGCCACAUUGGGACUGAGACACGGCCCAAACUCCUACGGGAGGCAACAGUAGGGAAUCGUCGGCAAUGGACGACACUCUGACCGAGCCACGCCGCGUGAGUGAAAAACGUUUUCCAAUA
rnacentral:rRNA from 1 species